AGCAGCCGCGGUAAUUCCAGCUCCAAUAGCGUAUAUUAAAGUUGUUGCAGUUAAAAAGCUCGUAGUUGAAUUUCGGGGUUCUACCGUUGGUCGGGCUAUUGUCUGUACUGGCGUGUAGAAUUUCUACCUUCUGGGGAACUAUCAUGUUAUUAAUUUAGCGUGGUAGGAAACCAGGACCUUUACCUUGAAAAAAUUAGAGUGUUCAAAGCAGGCUUAUGUCUGAAUACAUUAGCAUGGAAUAAUAAAAUAGGACGGUGGUCCUGUUUUGUUGGUUUCUGAAUCACCGUAAUGAUUAAUAGGGAUAGUUGGGGGCAUUAGUAUUCAAUUGUCAGAGGUGAAAUUCUUGGAUUUAUUGAAGACUAACUACUGCGAAAGCAUUUGCCAAGGAUGUUUUCAUUAAUCAAGAACGAAAGUUAGGGAUCGAAGACGAUCAGAUACCGUCGUAGUCUUAACCAUAAACUAUGACCGACUAGGGAUCGGAUGGAUGUUAAUUUUUAAUGUACUCAUUCGGCGCCUUACG
rnacentral:rRNA from 1 species